rnacentral:rRNA from 1 species
GUUGGCCCAACUGAUUGGACGUGCUUGCACGGACUUGACGUUGGUUUACCAGCGAGUGGCGGACGGGUGAGUAACACGUAGGUAACCUGCCCCAAAGCGGGGGAUAACAUUUGGAAACAGAUGCUAAUACCGCAUAACAAUUUGAAUCGCAUGAUCCAAAUUUAAAAGAUGGUUUCGGCUAUCACUUUGGGAUGGACCUGCGGCGCAUUAGCUUGUUGGUAGGGUAACGGCCUACCAAGGCUGUGAUGCGUAGCCGAGUUGAGAGACUGAUCGGCCACAAUGGAACUGAGACACGGUCCAUACUCCUACGGGAGGCAGCAGUAGGGAAUCUUCCACAAUGGGCGCAAGCCUGAUGGAGCAACACCGCGUGAGUGAAGAAGGGUUUCGGCUCGUAAAGCUCUGUUGUUAGAGAAGAACGUGCGUGAGAGCAACUGUUCACGCAGUGACGGUAUCUAACCAGAAAGUCACGGCUAACUACGUGCCAGCAGCCGCGGUAAUACGUAGGUGGCAAGCGUUAUCCGGAUUUAUUGGGCGUAAAGCGAGCGCAGGCGGUUUGAUAAGUCUGAUGUGAAAGCCUUUGGCUUAACCAAAGAAGUGCAUCGGAAACUGUCAGACUUGAGUGCAGAAGAGGACAGUGGAACUCCAUGUGUAGCGGUGGAAUGCGUAGAUAUAUGGAAGAACACCAGUGGCGAAGGCG